rnacentral:lncRNA from 1 species
AAAAACAUCAGAAGAAUACCAAUAGAGGAACAUUCUGCAAUAUAUACCAGACUCCGUAAGACUGUCAAGAUCAUCAAAAAACAAGAAAAGGCUGAGAAACUAUCACAACCAAGAGAAGCCUAAGACAACAUCAUGACUAAAUGUAAUGUAUUCAGGAUAGGAUCCUGGAAUAGAAAAAGGACACUAGACAACAAGGAAGUUCUGGCAGAUGAAUGGAAGCUAAGCUCUCCUGGAUGGAGAGUGUUAGAAGAGACACUGGAAACUCAGUCCCAAGAUGCUCAGUUUAGUGUUCCUAUUGUUACAACCUGUGACUUCACACAGAAUGAGUGAACAAUGAACAUCUCAGCAAUUGAUAAAAUGAUCCUUCACCAGCCAGGACCUUUUAAAAGAAUUGUCUUAUAACUUCAUCUUAAAGAGCAUCUUCUGACAUUUGUUUGCUGAAACAUACAUUACACUUCUGCUAUCUCAUUCCUUUUCCACAUAUGCUUCCUAAGCCUGGCUUUAUAUUAAAAUAUGAAAGUUACUGGGAAAAAUAAUUCCACUUUCAAGCUGUAGGCCUUUUCCUACAGCUCAAAAUUAUCACAUUUAUUUGAAAGACGUUUCUUUAAAACAUCUGGAAGAUACACCAAAGUGAUAAGCUGGAGAGAAGAAAUCCUUUGCUCCAGGAAUACAUUCUUAAAUAUAAUGCUGAAGAACAUAAUACAAACAGGAAAAUGAAAAUCACCCAUAAUCCCAUCACUGUGAAACUGUAUUUCCUGCAUGAUAUAUAUUUAUUUUUCUAAAUCAAACCACAUUUGGCAUAGGACCCAACCCCCUAGGAAAUCCAACUUAAGUCAUUUUUUUAUUUCCUCUCCUUUAUGAUCUUAAGUUCUAUGGUUCCUUUAAGAACCAUAGAACUUACACAAUCCAAAAAACUUUGGAAGAAGGAUCUUCCAAAUUGUCCUUCAGUCAAGUGUAGUCUCCAUUACAAUGAUCAUGGUCAACUCAAACGCAUGUUCCUGUUGUCCCUUCAGUCAUGUAGACCCAUUGCUGUUGCUCAAGGCCAGUUUAAAUCAUCUUUGAAAGCAUACUUUUUAUAUGUGUAUAAUGUUCCAUCCAAUGGUUAUGUCAUAAUUUCUUUAUUCCUCUAAUUUGACAUUUAGAUUCUUUCAAGAAUUUUUGUUAUUACUUGUAAGCUAUAAAACACUACAGAUACACACAAAUCUUUGGCCACAUCUCUAUUUUAUAAGGAUAAGUUUUUAGCAAUGAGAUUCCUGUAUUAAGUACAGAUAGCUUUAAGGAUCUUUAUUCUAACUUAAAAAUUACUUUUCAAAAAUGUUAAUGUAUUAAUAACUUAGUUUUUACAAAUAUUUGUUGCAGAUUUUCUUGUCUGUUUCAUGUUUAUUGAAAUGAAUAGCUUUAAUUUUUAUGCAGUCAAAUUUAUGCAUAUUUUUCUUUGUAGUUUUUUUCCUCUGUUUUAUGGUUAGAAGUCCCUUCUGUAUCUGGAAAUCUAAUAUUAUUUUAAUUUUUUAACACAUUAAUCAAACAAAAAUGCAUUUGCUACAAAGAAUGAGCUUAGAACCUCUUUCCCCCCCCACCACCCCAAAUAGUUAAUCAAUUCCCAUCACCAUUUCCUUUGCCCAGUAACGUAUACUUUUUUAUAUGGUGGAGCCCAAAUAUCCCUAUGUGAAGAUGAGCAUUUGGGUCAAAUGAGUAAGGAACUUCCCUCUGGGAAAAAUUUAAAGGGGGCACAAAAAAAACCUUCAGUAAUCAACAUAAAUAAUAUUACAAUACAAUAUUUGAAAAAUCAAAACUAAUGCAAAAAUUUCAGAUAAGCAAUACAUUAAAAUUUUAAGAAAAUUCAGAAUCAAGUCCUGUAGCCUUCUGGUGUCAUUCUUUAAAAUCAAAUCUGUACAAAGUAACAUGAGUGCUAGCAGUCUCCCUAAUAUUUCCAGGGAUACCUGUAGGACUUACGUUCCUCAGAGUACUUACAUCUCAUGCCAAACCCUUGCUCAACUGUCAAACACUUGUGACCAUCACAUCACCACUCUGAACAGCUUCAUUCUUAGCAGGGACACAGUCCCUUUGUCUUUAUUUCCCAAGGCACUGCUAACGCAAGGCUGUUAACACUUAAAUUUUUACUGAAAGUUUGGAGGUAAUUGAGGGAGAGUACAACACAGACAGGGAAACACCCCAAGAUUCAUUGUGAAACAUCACUGCAUCUAAGAUUCUUCACUGGUCAACCCCCAGAUCAUGGUCACAGUGAUUCCUCCUUAGAUUGGCCAGAUGCUAGGCUGAUUUCUUCAUACUGAUUUGUCUUCCCCAUCACGUCUUUCCUGAGCUCAACAAUUGUCAGCCUUCCUUCCCCGUCCUUUCUUUUUUCAGUUCAGGUUAUCACAGAAACACCAAAAAUCCUUAUUUCUUUACUGUGUAAAGUAAGCUCCUAGAGUAUUGGCCUUUGUGUCAGAUAGCGCUAGUUUUUUCUUCAUCUCUUUCCCCUGGCCCUUAGCACUUCAGAGCUUGCCGGUCUGACUUCCAACUAACAGCACCUCCAUUUACUUACCUGAGGCUUUAUCUGGCCACCAAAUUUUGUUUUAUCUACAGGAGCAGCAGGUU